AGUGAACGCUGGCGGUAGGCCUAACACAUGCAAGUCGAACGGCAGCACAGUAAGAGCUUGCUCUUACGGGUGGCGAGUGGCGGACGGGUGAGGAAUACAUCGGAAUCUACUUUUUCGUGGGGGAUAACGUAGGGAAACUUACGCUAAUACCGCAUACGACCUACGGGUGAAAGCAGGGGAUCUUCGGACCUUGCGCGAUUGAAUGAGCCGAUGUCGGAUUAGCUAGUUGGCGGGGUAAAGGCCCACCAAGGCGACGAUCCGUAGCUGGUCUGAGAGGAUGAUCAGCCACACUGGAACUGAGACACGGUCCAGACUCCUACGGGAGGCAGCAGUGGGGAAUAUUGGACAAUGGGCGCAAGCCUGAUCCAGCCAUACCGCGUGGGUGAAGAAGGCCUUCGGGUUGUAAAGCCCUUCUGUUGGGAAAGAAAAGCAGCAGGUUAAUACCCCGCUGUUCUGACGGUACCCAAAGAAUAAGCACCGGCUAACUUCG
rnacentral:rRNA from 1 species